UACGUAGGCAGCAAGCGUUGUUCGGAGUUACUGGGCGUAAAGGGUGUGUAGGCGGUUCUUUAAGUUUGGUGUGAAAUCUCCCGGCUCAACUGGGAGGGUGCGCCGAAUACUGAGGGACUAGAGUACGGGAGAGGAAAGUGGAAUUCCUGGUGUAGCGGUGAAAUGCGCAGAUAUCGGGAGGAACACCAGUAGCGAAGGCGACACUCUGGGCCGGUACUGACGCUGAGGAGCGAAAGCGUGGGGAGCAAACAGG
rnacentral:rRNA from 1 species